GAUCCGGUGACUUAGUGGUUAAAGUGUCCGUCUCGGAUACGAGAAGUCGUGGGUUCGAUCCCGGUCCAGUCA